AGUGAACGCUGGCGGUAGGCCUAACACAUGCAAGUCGAACGGCAGCACAGUAGGAGCUUGCUCUUACGGGUGGCGAGUGGCGGACGGGUGAGGAAUACAUCGGAAUCUACUUUUUCGUGGGGGAUAACGUAGGGAAACUUACGCUAAUACCGCAUACGACCUACGGGUGAAAGCAGGGGAUCUUCGGACCUUGCGCGAUUGAAUGAGCCGAUGUCGGAUUAGCUAGUUGGCGGGGUAAAGGCCCACCAAGGCGACGAUCCGUAGCUGGUCUGAGAGGAUGAUCAGCCACACUGGAACUGAGACACGGUCCAGACUCCUACGGGAGGCAGCAGUGGGGAAUAUUGGACAAUGGGCGCAAGCCUGAUCCAGCCAUACUGCGUGGGUGAAGAAGGCCUUCGGGUUGUAAAGCCCUUUUGUUGGGAAAGAAAAGCAGUAGGUUAAUACCCCGCUGUUCUGACGGUACCCAAAGAAUAAGCACCGGCUAACUUCGUG
rnacentral:rRNA from 1 species